rnacentral:ribozyme from 1 species
CACACAGUACUCUCCCAGAUUUUCCAAAAUGGGAGCAUCGAAUCCUUACACAAAAUAUGAAUCAACCGUAAAAAAUGACGAUAAAUGGCUGGCAUUUCUCAAGAAGUUUAACUUGACCCAAGCUCAAGGAAAGAA